UUCUGCCUACGGGGCGCAGCAGUAGGGAAUCUUCGGCAAUGGACGAAAGUCUGACCGAGCAACGCCGCGUGAGUGAAGAAGGUUUUCGGAUCGUAAAACUCUGUUGUUAGAGAAGAACGUUAAGUAGAGUGGAAAGUUACUUAAGUGACGGUAUCUAACCAGAAAGGGACGGCUAACUACGUGCCAGCAGCCGCGGUAAUACGUAGGUGGCAAGCGUUGUCCGGAUUUAUUGGGCGUAAAGCGAGUGCAGGCGGUUCAAUAAG
rnacentral:rRNA from 1 species